rnacentral:rRNA from 1 species
AUUGAACGCUGGCGGCAUGCUUUACACAUGCAAGUCGAACGGGGUGAGGAGCUUGCUCCUCAUCUAGUGGCGAACGGGUGAGUAAUACAUCGGAACGUACCGUGUAGUGGGGGAUAACGUAGCGAAAGUUACGCUAAUACCGCAUACGAUCCACGGAUGAAAGCAGGGGACCUUCGGGCCUUGUGCUAUACGAGCGGCCGAUGUCUGAUUAGCUAGUUGGUGGGGUAAAGGCCCACCAAGGCAACGAUCAGUAGCGGGUCUGAGAGGAUGAUCCGCCACACUGGGACUGAGACACGGCCCAGACUCCUACGGGAGGCAGCAGUGGGGAAUUUUGGACAAUGGGCGCAAGCCUGAUCCAGCCAUGCCGCGUGUCUGAAGAAGGCC